CAGAAGGAGUAGGGGCAAAAGGAGAUCUCUUCCCAGUAACACACCAUGCUAAAGCAGCCGAUGUGGGUAGCUUCCGGAUUCUAUUCUCACCACCACUGCCAUUUCAGAAACCCGUCCAAGCUGCCGCCAAAACCACCCUCAUCCGCCAUACCCACCGUCGUAGCAAUGUCAGCAUCACACCAAAACAAACAAUCACAUCAUUCCGAAACUACCCCCACAGUCAUCGAGAAUUUCCCAAUACCACUAUCCCCUCAACUUCCACUAAUCUCAAAACAAAUCGAACUCAACAGAGCCACAAUCGCUACUUCAAAUUCAGAACUCUUUACUCUCUCAAAAAACCACAUCAUCUACGAAGACGAAUUCCUCUUAGCAGUUAACAAACCCCAAGGAAUCUACUGCGACAAUGUACUCACUUCCCUUCAAUCACAAAAUUCCGUUACGGCGGAGCUUCAUCUCGCUAAUCGACUCGACCGCGACACGAGUGGUGUUAUGCUGAUAACAAAAUCGCAUAAGGUAGCUUCGAAGCUUGUUAAAGCAUUCACCGAUCAUAAAGUGAAGAAAACUUACAUCGCUCUUUGUACCGGUGUUGUUCCUGAUUGGAAAACGAUAACCGUUAGAUCCGGUCACGGUAGGUCGAAAUUCGGCGCGUGGAGAGUUUACGGUUUUUCCGAUGCUGGCCGUGGGUUACCGGGUGGAUCGGUUGUUCGUGAAAUGGAAACUUCGUUUGAGGUGUUAUCUGUUAAUGGAAAAGGGAGUUUUAGAGAGGUGGCAGAGUUAGGGUUUGAAGGGAGUAGUUUGGUGGUUGUUGAAGAGAAAGCGGUGAAAAUUGACGGUGGUGAUGAUCGGAAUGAGAUUGUGGUGAGAGCGUAUCCACGGAGUGGAAGAACGCAUCAGAUUCGGUUGCACUGUCAAUAUCUAGGGAUUUCAAUAAUUGGGGAUGUGAAAUAUGAAGGUGUUUAUGAAUGGAAUGGUGUGAUCCAUGAUGGUCAUCACCUUCAUGCCGAGACGUUGUCGUUUGAUCAUCCUGUUACCGGUGUUCAUGUUAUGCUGCAUGCACCUCUCCCACAAUGGGCGAACCAGGCGUUGCAAUUGCAACCUUAAGGCGCAAGGAAUCCGGGUUUUAGAUCACCUGGCGGGGGUGAAAGUUCUUCAUGGCCUUGACAAAGUUGCGGAAGGUGGUACUGUAGUUCUGACUAUCAGAGAUCAGCCUAUACUUGCUGAUGGUGAUGUUAACGAAGUCUGCUUAUGCUAAAGCAAAUGGAAUGUUGGUGCUAUCUUUGAUUCCGUAUCAAUUACAAGGACCCUGCCCCAAAAAGUAUCCGACUUUGAAAUAAGUAAAAUACCUAAAUUUAAAGUCAUAUACUGGCUUGAGUUAAAAGUUGAAUCCGAUGUGCCUUUUUAACAAGGUUUUAUUAUUGGAUCAGCUGCAUCUCUUGCGUUGUUUGGUGCUUAUGCGAACAGAUAUGGCAUCAAAACAUUGAAUAUCUUGACACCAAAGGUUUUUAUUGGUUUGACUGUGGGAGCAAUGCUUUCCUACUGGUUUUUAGUCAUGACAAUGAAGAAUGUUGGGACUUGGGAGUGCAGCUCUCAAAAUGAUUGUAGAAGCUCAUGGGCAAUUCAAUUCUAUUUUCGGUCUUAUAUAGAGAAGAGCAAAACCAGAUUAUGUUACCUGCCUAAAGGAGUGGAGUGAUAAAGAGGUCAAGAGUUUGAUCCUCAUUCUUAGCAUAAUACUAACAUCGGACGUUCCAACUUCCAAGAAAGAAAAAGAAACACUACAUGCAUAAAGAUACACCUCUUAUUACCACACCAUUCUUUAGUGCAGAGACUCUUGUUGGCUCUCUAUUUUAGCCAUUAAGUUGCUCUAUUCUCGAAAACUACCUUACUAUUGACAUUCACAUUUUUUAAGAUAUUUUCAUUUCUUCAUAGUGGCAGUUUCAGGCUUCCAGCUUCAAACACUGGUGGCGCAAGGGAUAACGUCAAAUUUUUAGUUUGGAAGUUGUUUACAGAUCUUGAACUCCCUUUGAGGAACUCUAUAAGAAAAUCAUUCCAUUUUAUCCUUGUAGCCCGUUAUUGCAUUUAGAAUUGACUAUUGUAAACUUUUUUUUUUUCUAUUACAAUUGUAAAUCGGUUUGCUGCUUAAUGGCUGCAGCUGGUAUUACUUUUCAUGUGGUAUCAUUGGGUCCAAAGGGUACAGAAGAUCACAAGGUUGCUGUCAUAGGAUAGGAGUACUCUUGAGACAUUGAGAGUUGGAUGUAUUAUUAAUUAGGAUCAUAAUGAUAAAUGCUUACAGAUUACGUAUGUGGGGAUGGGAAUAUACAAAUCAAACCAAGGUUAGAUCUUGGAAUCUAGGCAACUUGUGUGCUUCAUAUAGAACACUCUAGAAUCAUAAAUAAUGUGGCCCACGUAAUAAUAAAAUGAAGAUGUUUUUUCUCCUGA